rnacentral:rRNA from 1 species
GAUGAACGCUGGCGGCGUGCCUAAUACAUGCAAGUCGAGCGAACAGACGAGGAGCUUGCUCCUUUGACGUUAGCGGCGGACGGGUGAGUAACGCGUAGGUAACCUACCUAUAAGACUGGGAUAACUUCGGGAAACCGGAGCUAAUACCGGAUAAUAUUUCGAACCGCAUGGUUCGAUAGUGAAAGAUGGCUUUGCUAUCACUUAUAGAUGGACCUGCGCCGUAUUAGCUAGUUGGUAAGGUAACGGCUUACCAAGGCAACGAUACGUAGCCGACCUGAGAGGGUGAUCGGCCACACUGGAACUGAGACACGGUCCAGACUCCUACGGGAGGCAGCAGUAGGGAAUCUUCCGCAAUGGGCGAAAGCCUGACGGAGCAACGCCGCGUGAGUGAUGAAGGUCUUCGGAUCGUAAAACUCUGUUAUUAGGGAAGAACAAACGUGUAAGUAACUGUGCACGUCUUGACGGUACCUAAUCAGAAAGCCACGGCUAACUACGUG